UACGUAGGGGGCGAGCGUUGUCCGGAGUUACUGGGCGUAAAGCGCUUGUAGGCGGUCCACCAAGUUUGGGGUGACAGUUGUCGACUUAAUCGGCAAAGUGCCUCAAAGACUGGCGGACUUGAGGGCCACAGAGGGACAUGGAACUCCAGGUGUAGUGGUGAAAUUCGUAGAUAUUCGGAAGAACACCAGUGGCGAAGGCGACUCACUGGCCCGAUACUGACGCUGAGGCGCGAAAGCGUGGGGAGCAAACAGG
rnacentral:rRNA from 1 species